rnacentral:rRNA from 1 species
GAUGAACGCUGGCGGCGUGCCUAAUACAUGCAAGUCGAGCGAACAGACGAGGUGCUUGCUCCUCUGACGUUAGCGGCGGACGGGUGAGUAACACUUGGAUAACCUACCUAUAAGACUGGGAUAACUUCGGGAAACCGGAUCUAAUACCGGAUCAUAUAUUGAACCGCAUGGUUCAAUAGUGAAAGACGUUUUUGUUGUCACUUAUAGAUUGAUCUGCGCCGCAUUAGCUAGUUGGUAAGGUAACGGCUUACCAAGGCGGCGAUGGUAAGCCGAUAUCAAAGCGAGGUUGGCCACCCGGGAACUGAGAAAGGGCCGAGAGACCUGAGGGAGGCAACAGUAGGGAAUCUUACGCGAUGGAGGAGUGCCUGACGGAGCAACGCGGCGGAAGGGAUGAAGGUGCUCCGAUGCGAACACUCUGUUAUUAGGGAAGAACAAAUGUGUAAGUAACUGUGCACGUCUUGACGGUACCUUAUCAGAAAGCCACGGCUAACUACGUG